CGCCCAACAGCUAGCCUACAAUUUUAAUAAUAAAACAUUAAUAUUAUAAUACUUUAAAAACAACAACACACAAAAUAAAACAUUCUUCCCUUCUAGUAUGUGAGACAGAAAAAUUUAAUCCGAGCAAUAAACUAAGUACCGCAAGGGAAUGCUGAAAAAGAAAUGAACUAAACCAGUCAAGCACAAAAAAGCAGAGACUAAAACUCGUACCUUUUGCAUCAUGAAUUAGUCAGAAAUACUUAAGCAAAGCGAACUUUAGUUUAAUUCCCCGAAAUUAAGUGAGCUACUUCAAGACAGCCUAAACUAAAGGGCAUAAUCCGUCUCUGUGGCAAAAGAGUGGAAAGAGCUUCAAGUAGAGGUGACAAACCUACCGAACUUAAUGAUAGCUGGUUAUCUGAAAAAUGAAUAAAAGUUCAGCCUAUUAACUUCUUUAUUCCAAUAAGAUUUAUAACUUCACCAGACAAAAGAAAUUAAUAAAGUUAUUCAGAGGAGGUACAGCUCCUCUGACAAAAGAUACAACUUUUACAGAAGACUAAAGAUUAAAAUUUAACAAGGUACAAUUAAUCAAGUGGGCCUAAAAGCAGCCAUCCUAAAAGAAAGCGUCACAGCUCAAAUACAUAUACAACCACCAAAUCCCAAUCAACACUCUUACAUCUCUACACACGUAUCAGAUUUUCCUAUAAGUUAUAGAAGAAAUUAUGCUAACAUGAGUAAUAAGAGAAACAAAUCUCUCCACGCAUAGGUGUAAAUCAGAACAGACAAACUACCGAAAAUUAACGAACCCAAACAAAGAGAGUACUAGAAAACAAACAAAUAACCAGAAAACCUUCUACCAAUUAAUCGUUAACCCUACACUGGCAUGCUCCCCGGAAAGACUAAAAGAAAAAGAAGGAACUCGGCAAACAUUCUUCAGCCCCGCCUGUUUACCAAAAACACCGCCUCUUGUAAGCAUUAAAAUAAGAGGUCUCGCCUGCCCCGUGAAUUCAAUUUUUUAACGGCCGCGGUAUUUUGACCGUGCAAAGGUAGCGCAAUCACUUGUCUUUUAAAUGAAGACCCGUAUGAACGGCACAACGAGGGCUUAACUGUCUCCUUUUUCUAGUCAAUGAAAUUGAUCUCCCCGUGCAGAAGCGGGGAUAACCACAUAAGACGAGAAGACCCUAUGGAGCUUUAAACAAUAGACAGAUCAUGUUAAAAAUACUUAACCAAACAAGACUAAACUUUUGUAUAUCCUGCCUUAAUGUUUUCGGUUGGGGCGACCAUGGGGAAAAAAACAACCCCCACGCGGUGAAAAAUCUUUUUAUAACUAAGACUGACAAAUCUAAGUACCAGAACUUCUGACCCUAAACGAUCCGACCACACCGAUCAACGAACCAAGUUACCCUAGGGAUAACAGCGCAAUCUCCUUCUAGAGCCCCUAUCGACAAGGAGGUUUACGACCUCGAUGUUGGAUCAGGAUAUCCUAAUGGUGUAGCCGUUAUUAAGGGUUCGUUUGUUCAACGAUUAAAAUCCUACGUGAUCUGAGUUCAGACCGGAGUAAUCCAGGUCAGUUUCUAUCUAUGUAAUGUUUUUUUCCAGUACGAAAGGACCGAAAAAAAAAGGCCAAUACUCCAAGCACGCCUCCAUACUAUUUGCUGACACAACUAAAGCAAAUAAAGACACAUAAUUAUUCUACUAAAAAAAACAGUAU
rnacentral:rRNA from 1 species